UUAAUCUGCUCUUGUUUAAUAUCAUUUUGUUGUCUUGUCUAGUUUAGGAUAAAAAGGGGGAUGGGUUCUAGAAACCCCCCCCCAUUAGCUCCUUUUCCCUUCCAGCCAAAAGAAAGGAAAGGGGUUUAUCCCUUUUAGCUCUUAACUUACCAAAUAGAAAAUCUAAGGAAGAGGAGUUUAGUUUCUUUGCUUGUGAAGAUUAGAACAAGUGAGGAUCUUUCCUUUGUCUCCAUUUAAGAUAAGGAAGAGAAGGAUAAGGGGACUAUGGCACAAGUCGACGAACUCCCUGGAAGUUGAAUGUCAAGAAAUUUAGUUUGAGGUGUGUAGAGUCGACUAGCUGAUUUUUAAGUGGCAGCUCUAGUGUGGGCUAGUUGAAGGGAGUCCGGGCGUCCACGUCUUUUGGGUGAGCUACCAAAGUGUUGUAUAGUUGGUCUCUGUCUGUAAUCGAUCCUUUUGUUGUGUAGUAGCCUAAGUUGUAGACCUCAGUCGGUUAAAGUCACUACUUACCUGGGCCAUGAGAACCAUGUAUAUAUAACUACUCGUCUUUUGACUUGUAUAGUUUUGCUCAUGUACAUUUUCGUCAAAUGGCCUGAAAAUAUUUUCUUGUUAGAAGCCCUAAAGGUCUUUUGUGAACCUAUUUUAAUAUGUAAGGUUUUAUGAAUGGCUCUUGAAGAACCACUAUGAACUUGGUUAUGUUUAAAA